GAUGAACGCUAGCGGCAGGCUUAACACAUGCAAGUCGAGGGGUAUAGUUCUUCGGAACUAGAGACCGGCGCACGGGUGCGUAACGCGUAUGCAAUCUACCUUUCACAAAGGGAUAGCCCAGAGAAAUUUGGAUUAAUACCUUAUAGUAUAACGAGUUCGCAUGGAUUUGUUAUUAAAGAUUUAUCGGUGAAAGAUGAGCAUGCGUCCCAUUAGCUAGUUGGUAAGGUAACGGCUUACCAAGGCUACGAUGGGUAGGGGUCCUGAGAGGGAGAUCCCCCACACUGGUACUGAGACACGGACCAGACUCCUACGGGAGGCAGCAGUGAGGAAUAUUGGUCAAUGGGCGCAAGCCUGAACCAGCCAUGCCGCGUGCAGGAUGACGGUCCUAUGGAUUGUAAACUGCUUUUGUACAGGAAGAAACACCCCGACGUGUCGGGACUUGACGGUACUGUAAGAAUAAGGAUCGGCUAACUCCGUGCCAGCAGCCGCGGUAAUACGGAGGAUCCAAGCGUUAUCCGGAAUCAUUGGGUUUAAAGGGUCCGUAGGCGGCUUAAUAAGUCAGUGGUGAAAGCCCUACGCUUAACGUAGGAACGGCCAUUGAUACUGUUAGGCUUGAAUUAUUAGGAAGUAACUAGAAUAUGUAGUGUAGCGGUGAAAUGCUUAGAGAUUACAUGGAAUACCAAUUGCGAAGGCAGG
rnacentral:rRNA from 1 species